rnacentral:rRNA from 1 species
CAAACGACUCUCGGCAACGGAUAUCUCGGCUCUCGCAUCGAUGAAGAACGUAGCGAAAUGCGAUACUUGGUGUGAAUUGCAGAAUCCCGUGAACCAUCGAGUUUUUUGAACGCAAGUUGCGCCCAAAGCCAUUAGGGCCGAGGGCACGUCUGCCUGGGCGUCACGC